UGGGGAAUUGUUCACAAUGGGCGCAAGCCUGAUGACGCAACGCCGCGUGGGGGAUGAAGGUCUUCGGAUCGUAAACCCCUGUCGAAUGGGACGAAAGACUCGCGAGUGAAUACUUCGCGAGAGUGACGGUACCGUUAAAGGAAGCCACGGCUAACUCUGUGCCAGCAGCCGCGGUAAUACAGAGGUGGCAAGCGUUGUUCGGAAUUACUGGGCGUAAAGGGCGCGUAGGCGGCCCUCUAAGUCAGGCGUGAAAUCCCCCGGCUUAACCUGGGAACUGCGUCUGAUACUGGAGGGCUUGAGUAUGGGAGAGGGAUGUAGAAUUCCAGGUGUAGCGGUGAAAUGCGUAGAUAUCUGGAGGAAUACCGGUGGCGAAGGCGGCAUCCUGGACCAUUACUGACGCUGAGGCGCGAAAGCUAGGGGAGCAAACGGGAUUAGAUACCCAGUAGUCCCUGAGCGGGCUGGCAAGGCGCAU
rnacentral:rRNA from 1 species